GGGGCCCGCACAAGCGGUGGAGCAUGUGGUUUUAAUUCGACGCAACGCGAAGAACCUUACCAGGGCUUGACAUCCCCUGACCGCGUAUGAAAGUACGUUUUCACCCUCGGGUGACAGGGAGACAGGUGGUGCAUGGUUGUCGUCAGCUCGUGUCGUGAGAUGUUGGUUAAGUCCCGCAACGAGCGCAACCCCUACGUUUAGUUGCUAACGCGUGAAGGCGAGCACUCUAGACGAACUGCCGUUGACAAACGGAGGAAGUGGGGAUGACGUCAAAUCAUCAUGCCCCUUAUGUUCUGGGCUACACACGUGCUACAAUGGCCGGUACAGACGGACGCAAAGCCGCGAGGUGGAGCAAAUCCUAAAAGCCGGUCUCAGUUCGGAUUGCAGGCUGCAAUUCGCCUGCAUGAAGUCGGAAUCGCUAGUAAUCGCAGGUCAGCAUACUGCGGUGAAUACGUUCCCGGGCCUU
rnacentral:rRNA from 1 species